rnacentral:rRNA from 1 species
UACGGAGGGCGCAAGCGUUGUUCGGAAUUACUGGGCGUAAAGCGCGUGUAGGCGGUUCAGCAAGUCGGUUGUGAAAGCCCCGGGCUCAACUCGGGAAUUGCGUCCGAAACUGCUGAACUGGAGUCCCGGAGAGGAAGGCAGAAUUCCCAAUGUAGGGGUGAAAUCCGUAGAUAUUGGGAGGAAUAACGGUGGCGAAGGCGGCCUUCUGGACGGUGACUGACGCUGAGACGCGAAAUCGUGGGGAGCAAACAGG